rnacentral:misc_RNA from 1 species
CCCUAGCCCAGAUAGGAACGGUUACCCCGCAGUAAGGGUUGGAGUGUGGGAAGGUUUGAGCGCUGGCGUGCGCUGGCGCGAGGAGUAUGAGUGGAUAGCUGGAAACAGC